GCCAAGGCUGUGUUGGUGAGUGAGCAUAGGAGGAGAGAGGCUGCAGGAGGCACAGGGAGCUGGGAGAGGCAGUGAGUCUCAGCACAGGUUUCCAAGUAAAUCUUUUGCUCAUACCAAGAGAUUUCACCAAGAUAUCACCAGGAUCUUGCUCAUCUUGACAGAGGAGUAACAUUUACAACUACCAUGGAAAGGAAACAAAACACGUGAAAGAAAUAAGGCAGUGAACAGGAGACAGCUGGAGCAACGCAUAACAACCCAAUCAGACAGGAUGACAUCGACCAUUCCCAGUUCCUUGGAAUUGGGUGAUUCACACUUUCACUUCUGAGCCAGCUAUAAAUGGAGGCUGGUGAGACGCCCUUCCCAACCACAGCCCUGCCCUGGAGGAAUUGCCCUCAGCUCUCCCCAGCCCUGCAGCUGAC